UACGUAGGGGGCAAGCGUUGUCCGGAUUUAUUGGGCGUAAAGAGCGUGUAGGCGGCUUGUCGCGUCGUCUGUGAAAUCCCGCGGCUCAACCGCGGGUCUGCAGUCGAUACGGGCAGGCUAGAGUUCGGUAGGGGAGACUGGAAUUCCUGGUGUAGCGGUGAAAUGCGCAGAUAUCAGGAGGAACACCGGUGGCGAAGGCGGGUCUCUGGGCCGAUACUGACGCUGAGGAGCGAAAGCGUGGGGAGCGAACAGG
rnacentral:rRNA from 1 species